CUGGGGAUCAAAGCGAAAGUAAAGUGCAUCGUCCUAAGCUGUCUUUUUUAUGAAACCAGAAACAUCUUAACACCUAGUUUUGUUAAUUUAGAUUUUCUGGAUGGAACGUCAUUUAGAUGAAAUAUGACCAUACAUUUCCAUUUAGUUCAGUUCAGAUGAAAUAUCAAAGUCAUCUGAAGUCAUUGAGGAGUGACCGGUCAAUGGAUCCUUCCCAUACCUAGUGGACAAACUGAUCUUUGAUUUAGUGCACAGACCCGACCUGCCAGAACCCAGCUGUGUGUCCAUGAAGAGAGACUGGUCAAUGGAUCCUCCACAUAACUUUAGUGAACACACUGAUCUUGGAUUUAGUUUGGUCCAGAUGCAAAGACCAAAGUUAUCUAAACCCAGCUGUGUGCCUAUGAGGGGUGUCUGGUCAGUGGAUCUGCCUCAAAACUUAAGUGGACACAAAGAUCCUAUGUUUAGUGAUAUCGUUGACUAGAUUGCAAAUUAUUGCACAGAUACGAUUUAAACUGAACUGAGCUGCAUGAUUGACAUCACUGAAUUCAAUGAUGAACUGCCUUUAAUUGUCAUUUUGCAUUAUUGACACACUGUUUUCCUAAUGUUGUUCAGUUGCUUUGAUGCAAUCUUUUUUGUUUAAAGCGCUAUAUAAAUAAAGGUGACUUGACUUGACUUUCUUUUUGGAGUGUUACAAGCUCUUGGUGCAUAAAGAAAAACUGUAAAGCUGCAAAGACUAAAGUCUCAAAUCCAAAGUGAUAUUCUUUAUAAAAGUUAAGAGUCAACCACUCCUACUUAAAAGGGCUCGUUCUAACACGCCCCUACAUAUCUACAUCACGAUGUGGGAAGAUUUGCAUAACACCGCCCAAAUGUUCACGCAAAGAAAGAUGCCGUAACUUUUAUUCUCGCUGUUGCCGCCAUGGCCAUGUUGUGGAGACGCUGUGUGUUUCAUCUUGAAAGAGAAACUACUUUGUUUGGCCGUCCAAAAGAGGGCACAACUAGAAAUCAGUGGUUCAACAUUGUUCCGGAACAGUUCAACCCAAUUAUUCAGAUGUGUGCGGUGCACUUUGCGGAAGGUAAAGGACCAUUUCGUGUGAGAGUAGCCUAAAAUGUCGGUGUCUGUUUCUAUAAAGUGGGGCAGUUCCAACUUUGCAAGGACAGGUUGGUGCUUCUGAUUCAAAGCCUGUAAGUACGUUUUUUAUAUUUAAAGAAUUUGCCACUGAUGAUUCAAACACGAGUUUUGAGCAGUGUAGAGUAGCGUGUGUUGUUUGUCUUUCCUCCAAUCACAAAUGCAGACAUUGUUUUUAUGUUUACGCAGCGCGAUAUGCAAAGCUUAAUAAGACAGUAUAAGUCAUUAUAAUCAGUAAUUAUGUCCCCACUUGAUGCAACAAAUGCCUUGUUUAUAAUGAGUUUUAUUGUUUGUCUUUUGGCCAAUCACAACGUACUGUAUACCUGGCCAAUCAGUGUACAUCUCGCUUUUCAGAACGAUGAGCUUUGUAAAAAUAGACACGAUUCAGAAAGGCGGGGCAUAGAGGAGUAACAAUAAUGUACAUUAUGUGGAAAAUAAUGUGGUUUUUGAACCUUAAACCACAUAAACACAUUGCAUUACACCAAAUACACAAAAUAAUGUUAUGUUUCGCAGCGUCAUAUGACGCCUUUAAAACAGAAAUAAUUAUUCACUACUGCUUCUGUAAUAAUUUUUAAUAACAUUGAUGACUUCAAUGCCUGCAUGCAGUGCCUUUCAGAUUAUAUUAUUUG
rnacentral:lncRNA from 1 species